UUACAACGUGAAAUUAUCUUUCUCUUUACGGAUUACACCCUAUAGUAGCAUUUCAUAUAUUUUUGUACAUUUGAUCGACAAGAAUUAUUUAAAUUUUCACUAACUUUACAUCAUUGUCCUUCACAUCCGUUAAUUGUGUUAGUGCAUCUAUUUGAUCUACAAUCGACAAUUAUUAAUUGCAGCAUUGCCAAAUUUUGAUUUUACAUUACUAUCGCAGAUCGACCUCGAUUAGAAUAUGAACCUGGAAGUGGCAAACACGAGCGAUGCGCUUAACUGCAGUACGCAGUUUACUUCAUUCGAGGGCGAUGUAGAGACCUGCAGAAACUAUCACGAAUUUGAAUACGAAUUCGUGCAUAGAAUUCUAGUGGUGGUAGUACCAUUAUUCUUUGGAAUAAUUGGAAUUCUCGGUCUGGUCGGGAAUUUGCUGGUGGUCGUGGUGGUGGCGGCAAAUCCUGGAAUGAGGUCGACCACGAAUAUCCUAAUCAUCAACCUCGCCGUAGCUGAUCUGUUAUUCGUUAUGUUUUGUAUACCGUUCACGGCUACCGACUUCGUAUUACCAUACUGGCCGUUUGGCAAUGUCUGGUGCAAGAUCGUUCAGUAUAUGAUUAUUGUCACGGCUUACGCUAGCGUUUACACCCUGAUACUAAUGAGUCUCGACAGAUAUCUAGCAGUCGUGCAUCCAAUCGCUUCUAUGUCGUGGAGAACGGAGACUCAUGCCAUACAUGCGAUCUGUAUUCUAUGGGUAAUGAUUUUAACGUUAUCCAUCCCUGCCUUCGUGAUCCAUGGCGAGAUUCACUACAUUUUCCAAGGACAAAAUUUGACAGCCUGCCGAAUUCUGGAUCAAUAUGACUGGACUUCCUACCAAGUGCCCUUCUUCCUAUCAAGCUACGUGAUGCCCCUGGUGUUGAUAUGCGUUUUCUACAUGUUCAUGUUGGCCAGGUUGUGGCGAGGUGUACGCACCAGUGCCGAGAACCGACGCGGAAGAAGACGGGUUACCAGACUCGUCGUCAUCGUCGUCGUCGUCUUCGCCUUUUGCUGGUGCCCUAUACAGCCCAUUUACUCUUCGUUGCCAUUUUCAUCUGUUCCAUCUACAUCGCGGACAUCGAUAAAGGAGAGAGAAACAUGAUGAGGAGUGAACGGGUGAAUACAGCAACAAACGUAAUCCAGUAUCACAAGACAUUGCCAUUAAUGGACGAUGCAAUGGAGCAGUUCAAGAUGGAAAAAGACACUAUACGAGAAGAGACUCAACAAAUCAUAAAAGUUCGAGACGAAAAUCGGAAAAACUUUAAUAAACUUUGAAGCCCAUCAAUAUCGAGUCGAAGAUUUAGUCGCUGUGGAGUGAAUGUAACUCGGAUCAGAACUUACAUUUAAACCGAAAUAUCUAGAACCUUAUAGAAUAACCAGAGUCAAAUCAAAUAACACUUAUGACGUGAUACGAGAAAAAGUUCAGGAAGGUCUUAGAGCCAGCAAUAUUUGUGUCAAAUAUCUCAAGCGUUAAACGGAUUUCAAACUAACACACUAUCAUCUGAUGAUCGCAGGAAGACCGAAUGGGAAUGUGGGAAAUCAAAUUUGAUUUCGAAUUAAACGCGAAUAAAGAACGCAAGAAAAUAAGAUAGAACGCAACCAAUAACGAUAUGGAAGUAGAGAAAGAAGGUGGCUCUCCAGAGGUUGACAUUAAUAGAGCGACAGAGAAGGCUAGAAUUGAGCCGACAGAGAAAAAUUCAGAUUUAUUGAGAUGUCGAAGAGAUUGAGAUGUUCAGAGAGAUUAAGAAAUAA
rnacentral:misc_RNA from 1 species